GCCGACCUAGCUCAACGGUAGAGCACGGCUUUCGUAAAGCCGAGGUUCAGGGUUCGAAUCCCUGGGUCGGCU
rnacentral:tRNA from 1 species